UUUCUUCAAUCUUCCCCCACCUUUAUCCUCCUGGUCUCUAUUUGUUAAAAAAAAAAAAAGAACAGCUAACCUUACCUGAGAUGGUCUUUGAUCACGCCUCAAACCUCACAGGCAGGGAUGCUGAACCCGUUGCAUUGUGGGAAAGGUAUGGGAUGUCACUGGGGUAAGAAUGAAUGGCAGGUAAUGUUCUUUGCCUAAAUCUGCGGAGCCGUUUAUUCCUCCCUGGGACGGAGCAGCAGCACUAGAGGAGAAUAGUUAAUGGAAGGUUUUCACCGUUCCCACAUUUACAUUCAUCAUUGAGAGGUUUUCAACAUUCCCACAUUUACAUUCAUCAUUGAGAGUAUUUUUUGGGAGAAGCAAGUUGUUAAUGUUGUUAAUUUUGUUAAUGUUGUGAUCCUAAUACACAAAGGCGCAGUCCUUUAAGCCUGCAGACAUAUACCACAUACAGCCACUGGAGAGAGAGAGUUGUAGUGUGCCUCUGUGUUGCAUAUACAUAUACGGAGAGAGUGAGAGUUGUAGUGUGCCUCUGUGUUGAUACACAUAUACGGAGAGUGAGAGUUGUAGUGUGCCUCUGUGUUGAUACACAUAUACCACAUACAGCCACUGGAGAGAGAGAGUUGUAGUGUGCCUCUGUGCUGAUAUACAUAUACGGAGAGUGAGAGUUCUAGUGUGCCUCUGUGUUGAUACACAUAUACGGAGAGUGAGAGUUUUGUAGUGUGCCUCUGUGUUGAUAUGUUGGGGUUUAUGAUAAUCACCUUGGGCCAUUAGCAUAUUUAAAAACAGGCAGUGUUCAAUCGCCAUGGGUAGCAUGUCAGAUGCCACAACGACAUUAUCAUCUGAAGCCAAAUAUUAAUUCAGGAAUCAAUUAGCCAGCGUGGGAGCUCAGUGACUGAUGAAUCAUGGGUAAUUAGCCUGUAGGUGCAGAGCUCGCGCGCUACGUUAUCUCUCUGUGCUUAGCUGAUGUGC
ensembl:lncRNA